AAGUAAUUUAUUCAAAAAAAAAAUGUGCAAAAUUUGAAAAACGAUAUUGCAAGAGCUACCGAGCAAGUGAACAAGUCAUCAAUGGCGCUCCAACCAGCAUUCAGAGAGAGGCUUGAAGACAUGGAGAACACCCGCAAUCAGCGAAAUUCUCUCCUUCAGGACGAGAAAGAAUUACAAAGGAGCAAAUCCCUAUUAUUAUCAGCUAAACAUGCCAAAAUCAGAUUAUUAGAGCAACGAUGCUUGGUCUUAGAUAAAAAAUUUGCUUCAGAUAACUUCAAAAUCUCAUCACUCAAGUCGGAAAUUGAAUUUUCGGAUCGUCAAUUUCAAACAUGCGCUCAACAAUUGAGGGAUUUAAAGGUUGAGGUUGAGGAGCUUGAGCAAUUGGAGGAGGAGAGAGAAAAAAUUUACGCUGUUAAAUGCUCUGAGAUGAAUGCGUUUAAGGAUGAAAUUCAGAAUUAUGCUGAAGAAAUUGGUCGCAAAGUCAGGGAAUUGCGAUGUGGCAGGGAGAAGCUCAAAUCCUGUUACUCGGGACAUCAAGAGAGAAACAGUGAGACACGAAACCAUGACAUUCAAGCUGCUAAGGCAAGAAAUUCAGAACUUUUAGCUUUGAAGCAAAACAUCGCAAGUAGCCUGGAGUCUAAUAAACGAGUGAGAGCAACUUUGCAAGUGCAGGUUCAGAGUCUAUGGUGAUACGGAAUGUGAGGCCUGUGUGCAUAGUGGAAAUGAAAGAGGUAACUGUUACCAUUAAAGAUACACCGUAGCAUACAACUAUUGAAUCUGUUUCAAUAUGAUUAUACAGUAUGAAUAAAGUUUCUCGUAUUAUGUUGCCUUAAUUUACUACUUUUGGAUAAUGAAUAUUCACAUUUUAUUUCCAUCAAGAAACUGAAUUUAUGAUUGAAACGAAAUGGACAUAAUAGAUUAAAGAACAUUAUUACAAUGUAUGAUAACAAAUAAACAACACUUACAAACAAGUCUCACCCCCUAUAAUAACAGCAACAACGACAACAAGACUUGAAAUUACUCGGGUGCGACUCUUGAACCAUUUCCUGUAUCCCCGUGACCCCCAGAUGAUGGAGGCUUUCCAGUGAAUAUAGUCUUCAAUGCCUUGCCUAACACCUUGUUUGGCUUACGCUUUGACGACUCUGGAACAUCGUCCUUCUUUACUGGCCUACUUCCUCCGUUAUCCAUUUUGUUUGAGUAAUGCAACAAAUAUGACUAAGAAGUAUUUCCUGCUCUCCAAGAUCAAUGACAAAUUAGUGUUUGUUAUUUAUAUCUUCUCCGAGAAACCAACAGGGCUAUUUGUAAUCUAUAUCUACUUGUAAUUCUCUUUGAUAUUUCUUUGUCAAUUCCAAGCUAUGUUUUCAAAAAUGUGGAAGUUGCAUUUCGCACAACUUUCUCAGUAAAUUCAAAUUAAGAAUAAAGAACUUAUUUUAAUUUUAAAAUAAAAGUUUAACUUAGAUUUCUUUUGCUUUUAAUUAUAAAGAUUUCAUUGGUUUGUCUACGGCCUAGAAUUUACUAUUACAUUUCCAUGGUUAUGAACAAGUUUAGUCUAUUCCUUCAUCCCCAAGUAAUUAACUAGUCUAGCGGUGGUCACAGUACUGGUGCAUUUCCUUGGAUGUUCAAUAAAAUUUCACAAGUAAUGCUUCUAGUUGUAGUCAGUUGACUCGAGGAUUUGUGUUGCCCUUCGCCCCUUUUAUGAUUUUUUUGAGGAUUUUCAGGUUGAGACUAACAAGACUCGGUAAAAACUUGUCGCCUUAAAAAUAAGUGAACAUCAUCAAUUUACAUCAGGAAAAUGAAUAUUAUUAACUUUUCACAAAACUAAGGAACAACAGUCUGGAAUUUGCUAAACUGCAGGCAUCUAGUAAAAUAUUAACACUUGUAUCUGCUUCAACAUGGAGCUGCACUUGAUGAAAUCUUCUGCCAUUUCUUUCCCUCAACUCAACAUGGAGCUGCACUCUACUACACUAAACGCGAUUCUAUACGAUGGAUGAUGCAUAGCAUUAGUUUAAACCGAUUUUGCAAAGUCAGAAUUUCAGUGGUCUAUGACUUCUUCUAAUGCCCAAUUGCCCAUCCAUUCCAUUAAAACAUACUUUUACUGAUUAAAAUCUAGGUGUUACAAAAUGAAACUGAUUUUUAUUUCAUGAAAAUUGAGUUUGGGUUCAAUAAUUACUUAAUUAUAUACUCCAUAUUUACUUUCAUAUCCAUAUGAGAUAUGAUUAUCUUGGUAGUUUUAAUUUACUUUUGAUGGAUGAGAUCCUGGGUUUCAUAUGUCUUUAUAAUUCUUCCAUAAUUAAACUAGAAGACUAUUUUUUGCAGGUAGUUGUGAUACUUAACAAAAAACCCCCAUAUUAUGUGGAAAAAUUGACUUAUAUGCUACUAAACUAUUGAAUUAACAUAAAUAAUUAGAUGCCUAUGAUUUGCGCUUUGUUUGUCCAUAAUUUUUCAUGAAUAAAUACUGCCCCAACAUAAUCAACCUAUAUGCAUACUCAGUUAUUUAUUUAUUUAUUUAUUUAUUUAUUUUUGCCUCAGAGUUGGUAUCAUAAUUGAUUUACAGACCAAAAUCAGAGUAGGAAGACAAAACUUCAUAUAGAUUUUAGACAGUAAAAAAACAGAGUGUAACUGUAUUAGAUUCAAACAAAAUAAACAGAAAACAUUGUUAUAGCAACAAACUGGCCACAAAUAAACACAUCUCACCCUUUAUGUCGUUACAAACUACAAGUAUCUUAAUGUGUCAAACAAACUCAUAUUGUUAUACUAGUACAUGAAAUUACUCAGGUGCAACUCUUGCACCAUUUGAAGAACCCCCCUGACUUCCUGCUGAUGGAGAUGUUCCGGUGAAUAUAGUCUUCAAUGCCUUACCCAACACCUUAUUUGGCGUACGCUUUGACGAAUCUGGAAUUUAACAAGUAUAUGCUUCAAGCCUUUGAGGAGUUGCAAUUCAAACAAGUUUCUUGAGAAUUUCAUACUAGUUGCUGACAUUGUUUGUAUCAACAUAUAAUCAAGAAAAUAAACCGAAAAGUAGACGUUUUGUUAAGUGAAUUACUGUGAUUUUGCAUUGAUUUGUUUACAAGAUUGGAGGGUGAAUUUCCUUGGUAUUCUAUAGAAUUUGUUUAUCCUUCCUCCCCAAGUAAAUUGAUGGUGGCAAUUGUUGGUGCAUUUCCAUGGGAAUUUUAUACAAUUUUCUGUCC